UGGGCUGUAGUUCAAUUGGUAGAACGUCUGACUCUGGAUCAGGAGGUUGCAGGUUCGAUUCCUGCCAGCCCAG
rnacentral:tRNA from 1 species